rnacentral:tRNA from 1 species
GCAUCUGUAGCUCAGUUGGUAGAGCACUGGAUUGAAGAUCCGGGUGUCGUAGGUUCGAAUCCUACCGGAAGCA